rnacentral:rRNA from 1 species
AUUGAACGCUGGCGGAAUGCUUUACACAUGCAAGUCGAACGGCAGCACGGACUGCGGUCUGGUGGCGAGAUGCGAACGGGUGAGUAAUGUAUCGGAACGUGCCCAGUCGCGGGGGAUAACGUAGUGAAAAUUACGCUAAUACCGCAUACGAUCUAUGGAUGAAAGCGGGGGACCGCAAGACCUUGCGCGAUUGGAGCGGCCGAUAUAAGAUUAGGUAGUUGGUGGGGUAAAGGCCCACCAAGCCAACGACCUGUAGCUGGUCUGAGGGGACGCACAACCACCCUGGAACUGAGACACGGUCCAGACUCCUACGGGAGGCAGCAGUGGGGAAUUUUGGACAAUGGGCGAAAGACUGAUCCAGCCAUUCCGCGUGCAGGAUGAAGGCCCUCGGGUUGUAAACUGCUUUUGUACAGAACGAAAAGGUUUCUACUAAUACUAGGAGCUCAUGACGGUACUGUAAGAAUAAGCACCGGCUAACUACGUGCCAGCAGCCGCGGUAA